rnacentral:rRNA from 1 species
AUUGAACGCUGGCGGAAUGCUUUACACAUGCAAGUCGAGCGGCAGCGCGGGGCAACCUGGCGGCGAGCGGCGAACGGGUGAGUAACAUAUCGGAACGUACCCAGUCGUGGGGGAUAACUAUCCGAAAGGAUAGCUAAUACCGCAUACGACCUGAGGGUGAAAGCGGGGGACCGAAAGGCCUCGCGCGAUUGGAGCGGCCGAUAUCGGAUUAGCUAGUUGGUGAGGUAAAGGCUCACCAAGGCGACGAUCCGUAGCUGGUCUGAGAGGACGACCAGCCACACUGGAACUGAGACACGGUCCAGACUCCUACGGGAGGCAGCAGUGGGGAAUUUUGGACAAUGGGGGCAACCCUGAUCCAGCCAUUCCGCGUGAGUGAAGAAGGCCUCGGUUGUAAGACGUCUUCGGUCGACGGAACGAAACGGUAGGUCCCGUAACUACGGGACGUACUAAUAG